CCCUGGCCGACACCACGUCUCGCGAGAGCGGUGCGGCGGCGGCCGGUCCGUACGCCCGGUCCGUUACGCCCCUCUGGGAUCCCUCAGACACAGCCUGGACUCCCUCCCACAACCCGGACCCCCUCACAUACCGCCGGUCCCUGAUACAACCCCGUUGUGAAUCCCCAGAUCCAGUGAUGAGGUUGGCCGUGCUCAUGCUGAGGACGAUCAAAGCUUUACACUUUAGGCUUCAAGAAGUUCCUCUUUAGAAGAAGGAAGAGGGAAGUGGGUGCAAAGAGUGUGCUAAUGGGAAGAAAAUGGCGCACAGAGAAGCCCUGAGAGAGGAGAGCACAUCAUCCAGAUGGAAAGACAGUUGGUGAAGGGACAGAAGACUAAAAGAAGUGAGCAAAUACAACCUGCUGGAUCCAAGAGCCUGGAAGAGGGAGAGGUGAGGCUGCUCAGCUCCAUCUCCCUGGGUCUCGCCAGCACUGACGCCAGAGAUGUGAUCUCAGCAAGCAGAUGCACACAGAGCUCAGCUAUACACCAUGGACAUACCUGAUGAUUUAAACGUUGAUCCAUCUGAGGACUAUAACACAGUUUUCUCAAAAAAAAAAAAAAA